UCAUCGACGAUGGACGCCUGGGCCCAACAGGCUAUGCGCCCUAAACCAACGACAACAGCAACAUUAAUCGACUUCAACAGUAUGUCAAAUCAUCAGAAACAUGACAGUUGCUGCAUGGGCCACCCUGCUGUUCCUUCGGUCACACAGACUUUGGAUGAAAUGGAGUGGGAGAGAGGCAUCUGGCCAGCAGCACUGGAAGGUGACAUGGCCCGGCUGGAGCUACUCCUGGGUCGUGGCUCUGCAGCUGACCGAGCUGACCAGGCUGGCUACACUGCGCUACACUAUGCAGCACGUGCUGGCCAGCU
rnacentral:lncRNA from 1 species